CGGGACAGCAAUGAGGGAGAGUCUCCAUUUUGGAGAGAGGAAUGAAAACAUGGCUUGAUUUAAGUGAAUGAAGGGAUGAACUUGUGCUUGUGCAAAGCUAAUGGAGCCAAAUAAGUAUUUUCCAUAUUGCAAAUGAAGCAGUUUUGGUGUAUAGAUCAUGCCCCAUGCAGUCUCACUGCUCAAUUCUCUGCCAUUUAGGAGUUAAAUAAUGUUUGUUUCUGUUUAUGCCGCCCUGGCCACACCUUUCUGCAUGUGACUGACACAGUCUGCAUGAAAACAAAAUGGCUUCAUUUUCAGUCAGAUGUUAUUUACUUUAAAAAGUUUUUAUCUCCUGCUUUGUAAUUUGAAAUAUAAUUACAUACAGGAAGCUUCUGCAGAGUCCAGCAAGCCAUUAACAGAGCAGGAGAUACAUUCCAAAU